rnacentral:rRNA from 1 species
UACAGAGGGUGCGAGCGUUGUUCGGAAUUAUUGGGCGUAAAGGGCGCGUAGGCGGUGCGGUAAGUCACCUGUGAAAUCUCCUGGCUCAACUGGGAGCUUGCAGGCGAAACUGCCGUGCUGGAGUGUGGGAGAGGUGAGUGGAAUUCCCGGUGUAGCGGUGAAAUGCGUAGAUAUCAAGCGGAACACCAGUGGCGAAGGCGAGUCCCUGGACAACUCCUGACACUGAGGCACGAAAGCUAGGGGAGCAAACAGG